rnacentral:lncRNA from 1 species
GAGACUGCCAUGCCUUAUCUUAAGUUUUACAGGGAUUUCAUGUCCUCUGUCCACUUAGGCAUGCACCCCACCCUCUAAAAGAAAAAAAAACCAGUAAUAUUUAGAGUCUUAAAGUUAAUAAAGUUACAUGUAUGUAUACAUAGCUACAAAAUGAUUCUGAUGAUGACAUUACUCAGCAAGUGACAUUAGAAUGAGUACAGCCUUAGUCGACACACAAAUUUCUGGAAUGGUGCUUCAAAGUUGAAGAUCAUGUGUUUACUAUAACCCUGUUUCGACCCUUUAUUGAGUGGAUGGUAUGAAAUACAAUGUUCAACAAAGAUGAUAUUUCGUAACUCUGCAUAAGAUAUGUACAGUACAUGGCUUAUCAAGUACUCGUCUCAAUGCCUCCUGCCAGGCCUCCGCCCCGCCCCCUUAAAAUAAAAACA